AGACCCGAAACCCGGUGAUCUAGCCAUGGGCAGGUUGAAGGUUGGGUAACACUAACUGGAGGACCGAACCGACUAAUGUUGAAAAAUUAGCGGAUGACCUGUGGCUGGGGGUGAAAGGCCAAUCAAACCGGGAGAUAGCUGGUUCUCCCCGAAAGCUAUUUAGGUAGCGCCUCGUGAAUUCAUCUCCGGGGGUAGAGCACUGUUUCGGCUAGGGGGCCAUCCCGGCUUACCAACCCGAUGCAAACUGCGAAUACCGGAGAAUGUUAUCACGGGAGACACACGGCGGGUGCUAACGUCCGUCGUGAAGAGGGAAACAACCCAGACCGCCAGCUAAGGUCCCAAAGUCAUGGUUAAGUGGGAAACGAUGUGGGAAGGCCCAGACAGCCAGGAUGUUGGCUUAGAAGCAGCCAUCAUUUAAAGAAAGCGUAAUAGCUCACUGGUCGAGUCGGCCUGCGCGGAAGAUGUAACGGGGCUAAACCAUGCACCGAAGCUGCGGCAGCGACACUGUGUGUUGUUGGGUAGGGGAGCGUUCUGUAAGCCUGCGAAGGUGGCCUGUGAGGGUUGCUGGAGGUAUCAGAAGUGCGAAUGCUGACAUAAGUAACGAUAAAGCGGGUGAAAAGCCCGCUCGCCGGAAGACCAAGGGUUCCUGUCCAACGUUAAUCGGGGCAGGGUGAGUCGACCCCUAAGGCGAGGCCGAAAGGCGUAGUCGAUGGGAAACGGGUUAAUAUUCCCGUACUUGGUGUUACUGCGAAGGGGGGACGGAGAAGGCUAUGUUGGCCGGGCGACGGUUGUCCCGGUUUAAGCGUGUAGGUGUGUGUUCCAGGUAAAUCCGGUUCACUUUAACACUGAGGCGUGAUGACGAGGCACUACGGUGCUGAAGCAACAAAUGCCCUGCUUCCAGGAAAAGCCUCUAAGCAUCAGGUAACAUCAAAUCGUACCCCAAACCGACACAGGUGGUCAGGUAGAGAAUACCAAGGCGCUUGAGAGAACUCGGGUGAAGGAACUAGGCAAAAUGGUGCCGUAACUUCGGGAGAAGGCACGCUGACACGUAGGUGAAGUGAUUUACUCAUGGAGCUGAAGUCAGUCGAAGAUACCAGCUGGCUGCAACUGUUUAUUAAAAACACAGCACUGUGCAAACACGAAAGUGGACGUAUACGGUGUGACGCCUGCCCGGUGCCGGAAGGUUAAUUGAUGGGGUCAGCGCAAGCGAAGCUCCUGAUCGAAGCCCCGGUAAACGGCGGCCGUAACUAUAACGGUCCUAAGGUAGCGAAAUUCCUUGUCGGGUAAGUUCCGACCUGCACGAAUGGCGUAAUGAUGGCCAGGCUGUCUCCACCCGAGACUCAGUGAAAUUGAACUCGCUGUGAAGAUGCAGUGUACCCGCGGCAAGACGGAAAGACCCCGUGAACCUUUACUAUAGCUUGACACUGAACAUUGAGCCUUGAUGUGUAGGAUAGGUGGGAGGCUUUGAAGUGUGGACGCCAGUCUGCAUGGAGCCGACCUUGAAAUACCACCCUUUAAUGUUUGAUGUUCUAACGUGGACCCGUAAUCCGGGUUGCGGACAGUGUCUGGUGGGUAGUUUGACUGGGGCGGUCUCCUCCUAAAGAGUAACGGAGGAGCACGAAGGUUGGCUAAUCCUGGUCGGACAUCAGGAGGUUAGUGCAAUGGCAUAAGCCAGCUUGACUGCGAGCGUGACGGCGCGAGCAGGUGCGAAAGCAGGUCAUAGUGAUCCGGUGGUUCUGAAUGGAAGGGCCAUCGCUCAACGGAUAAAAGGUACUCCGGGGAUAACAGGCUGAUACCGCCCAAGAGUUCAUAUCGACGGCGGUGUUUGGCACCUCGAUGUCGGCUCAUCACAUCCUGGGGCUGAAGUAGGUCCCAAGGGUAUGGCUGUUCGCCAUUUAAAGUGGUACGCGAGCUGGGUUUAGAACGUCGUGAGACAGUUCGGUCCCUAUCUGCCGUGGGCGCUGGAGAACUGAGGGGGGCUGCUCCUAGUACGAGAGGACCGGAGUGGACGCAUCACUGGUGUUCGGGUUGUCAUGCCAAUGGCACUGCCCGGUAGCUAAAUGCGGAAGAGAUAAGUGCUGAAAGCAUCUAAGCACGAAACUUGCCCCGAGAUGAGUUCUCCCUGAGACUUAG
rnacentral:rRNA from 1 species